GUGUCAGCCGCCGCGGUAAUACGGAGGGUGCAAGCGUUAUCCGGAUUUACUGGGUUUAAAGGGUGCGUAGGCGGGUUGAUAAGUCAGUGGUGAAAGCCCCGGGCCUAACCCGGGAACUGCCAUUGAUACUAUCAGUCUUGAAUACAGUUGAGGUGGGCGGAAUGUGUCGUGUAGCGGUGAAAUGCUUAGAUAUGACACAGAACACCGAUUGCGAAGGCAGCUCGCUAAACUGUGAUUGACGCUGAGGCACGAAAGCGUGGGGAUCAAACAGGAUUAGAAACCCUGGUAGUCCACGCCCUAAACGAUGAUUACUCGAUCUCGGCGAUACACUGUCGGGGUCUAUGCAAAAGCAUUAAGUAAUCCACCUGGGGAGUACGACCGCAAGGUUGAA
rnacentral:rRNA from 1 species